ensembl:snRNA U6 U6 spliceosomal RNA
UUGCUUUGGCAGCAUAUAUACUGUAAUUGGAACAAUAGAGAAGAUUAGCAUAGUUCCUACACAAGGAUGAUACAUAAAUUUGUGAAGUAUUCCAUAUUAAA